GGGUAAAACUUGGAAGGAAGGGGGUUGAAGCUUUCAUUUCAUCUGACCUCCAAGGGCUGACUGAGUAUGAACAGAAGGCACUGGAAGCUCUCAAGCCUGAACUGAAGGCCAGCAUUGAGAAAGGUAUCGCAUUUGCUCAGAGGGAACCAGUGGCUGCAUAGAGUGAGGUCAGUUCUGGAAGCCUAAACCAUACUGAAAUGCAGGUUUAUUGCGGUUGAUAAUUUUUGUUGCGGCUCAUCAUUACAUCAGCACUUUAAAUUUUGUAGAAUUUUCGUUUCUUUUUUUAAUACCGUGAGAAACUCUUUUUUAAUGAGAUAUUCCAUGAUAGCAUUGUCGGUUCGAAGAUUGCAAUUGCUACCAUUGAGGGAAUGUACCUUUCCUUUUACCUUUUUGAAAUAACACUGCUGAUGUAUCCCAACAUUUUUAUUAAUAACUGAGAAAACUUUUAUGCAUCUAAUGUCAUUUGAAUAACCAAGAAACCAUAUUGAUUUGCCAUUUUCAACCUGGUCCUUUCGCAGCUGUCUCUGUAAGGAAGGCUGUAUUACCAGAAUCUCUGCAUGUUCGUAAUUAUAUCGUGGCAGAUAAGCCAAGGCAUGUGUUAAUCUAUGAUUUCAUACUAUGAUUUCAAGGAUCCCAGGAAACCUUUAUAAGAAGCCAGGCAGCCCCAUUUUUUCUCGAAUAGGUAUUCCCCGUGAUGAAGGUGGGUAACCCAUUUGUGUGGAAGCAACAUUUCAAGAGCUUUAUUGAAUAUUGUAAUCAUAGGAUUGCCAUUCUUAAUCUCAUGGAGGACAAGGGCCAGGAACUUGGACUUUGCCUCUUGUAAAGAGGAAGGAUGCCCUAUGAAGAUUCGAAAUGGAUAGCAACAGUAGAGCAUCAUGCAAUAAUGCACAUAUCUAAUUACUGGGUUCGAGAGCAGUUCUAAAGUCAGUAACACAGUCUAGCAUUGAUGGCCCGGUUUAUUAUCAAUACAACUAGGGGGGUGUUUGGCAUUGAUUUAAAACUUGAAAAUAUUGUUUUUUUCUUGAAAUUGUGCUUUUUUUUAAGUGUUUUUGAAUAAUUUUGAUAUGUUGAUAUUAACAAUAAAUUUUUAAAAAAUAAAUAUAUUAUUUUAAUAUUUUUAUAUACAAAAACAUUUUAAAAAUAAUCACUCCUUGUAAGCACCUUCCUAAAACAGGUAGGGUUAGUUUAAUAGUUCAUAUGAAUAUUAAUAGGGUAAUAUAUUAUUUUUGUCAUUAAGUAACAAGCUUUUAGUGGUGUAGCUAUCAUGGUUUUGAAUUCUAGCAUAAACAAAUAAAUCUUUUUAGGUAAUUAUUUUAUAUUUGAUUUAAAAAAAAAAAGAGGGGCAGAACCAAAAAGUCAAGGUGCAUGUCUUCUUUAUACCCAUGUGCCUCGACUCUUUUUUUUUUUUUUGCUAUUUUGACCCUCCUAAUUUUUAAUAUUAAAUUGAUAAUAAAUUAGUUUUUGUAUUUUUAUCAUAUAAUAAAAAAAAUUAUCUUUUUUAUGAUCUUUUGUUUUUUCUUGUUCUUUGUUUUUUCAUCUCCAUCAUUAAUAAAGUAAUAUAAAAAAAGAGGAUAUAGAGUUACAUCCUAAUAAUAAAAAUCAAAUAUCACAACUCUUCAUUCUUAUAAAUAAAUAUGUCUGUUACACAAUAAUAAACAGUAAGAAAAAAUAUUGAAAAGAAAAAAAAUAUAGAACAAAAUAUAGGAGAAUUAAUUAAUAUGAUCUUCUUAAGCCAACAAACCUAAAAUUAAUUAAUAUAUACGUGGUUGUUUCUAGUUCACAAGGUGCAAGAAGAAAGAAGCGUAAGCAUCAAAGUGAAUCUCAAUAUAAGCAAGGUAAAGAGAAAUCCAUGGAAAAGGAAAACAUUCUUUUAAGAAGAAAAGGAACAAUCACCAUGAGGUUCCUCUGGUCCACAAAGGGAAAAGAUUAGUGGGAAGAACUCGAGGGGAUAACAAGUAAAGCCAAUUUUUUUGUAAAGUAGUGCAAGCAUAACCCCACUCUUCAAUUUCCUGACAUAUAAAAUUGAUGAUGGCAUGGAAUGAAUCGACUGUGAGACUUUGUGAAUCAGAAGACAAUUUCUCUAACUGUAACUUAUGAAAAUCAUUAGCCAACAUGAUUUUAUUAAUGGGUGCAGGAGACCAUCCAGAAGGUGGACUCAUAAGCAUACAUUUUGCAAUCUCAAGCUCCACUAAAGAAGGAAAUUGGGUUAUGACAGUGAGAAACUCUUUUUUGCAUUGUCGGUUCGAAGAUUGCAAUUGCUAUCAUUGAGGGGAUGUACCUUUCCUUUUACCUUUUUGAAAUAACACUGCUGAUGUAUCCCAACAUUUUUAUUAAUAACUGAGAAAACUUUUAUGCAUCCAAUGUCAUUUGAAUAACCAAGAAACCAUAUUGAGUUGCCAUUUUCAACCUGGUCCUUGCGCAGCUGUCUUUGUUAGGAAGGCUGUAUUACCAGAAUCUCUGUAUGUUCGUAAUUAUAUUGUGACAGAUAAGCAAAGGCAUGUGUUAAUCUAUGAAUUCAUACGAGUAAGAGGAUCCCAGGAAACCUUUAUAAGAAGCUAGGCAGCCCCAUUUUUUAUCGAAUAGGUAUUCCCCGUGAUGAAGGAGGGUAACCCAUUUGUGAGGAAGCAACAUUUCAAGAGCUUUAUUGAAUAUUGUAAUCAUAGGAUUGCCAUUCUUAAUCUCAUGGAGGACAAGGGCCAGGAACUUGGACUUUGCCUCUCGUAAAGAGGAAGGAUGCCCUAUGAAGAUUCGAAAUGGAUAGCAACAGUAGAGCAUCAUGCAAUAAUGCACGUAUCUAAUUACUGGGUUCGAGAGCAGUUCUAAAGUCAUUGAUUUAAAACAACUAGGGGGGUGUUUGGCAUUGAUUUAAAACUUGAAAAUAUUGUUUUUUCUUGAAAUUGCUUUUUUUAAAGUGUUUUUGAAUAAUUUUGAUAUGAUGAUAUAAACAAAUAAAUCUUUUUAGGCAAUUAUUUUAUAUUUUCUUUUUAAAAAAGAAGGGACGGAACCAAAAAGUCAAGGUCUGCAGGUGUCCUUUAGACCCAUGUGCCUUGACUUUUUUUAUUUGCCAUUUAGAUCCUCCUAGUUUUUAAUAUUAAAUUAAUUUUUGUAUUUUUUGUCAUAUAAUAGAAAGCUUUUUGUCUUCUUUUUUUAUGAUCUUUUGUUUUUUCUUGUUCCUUUUUUUUCAUCUCCAUCAUUCAAAGAGUUUUUUUUGUCCAUUAUUUCAUUUUUUAAUAUGAUUUUAUUUAAUUUUAUCAUUUAGAAUUAGAUUAAUGGUAAAUCAGUGUCUCUAUUUUAUAUAUAUAUAUAUAAUAAAAGUUUUUUGGCCUUUUAUUAUUAUUUUUUUCAAUUUUAUCUUUUAAUAUAGGGUUUUUAAUUCCUUUGGGUUUUGGAUCUUUUUUUUUUAAUUUAGGUUUUUUUUUAAUUUUAUUCUUCAGUGUUGAUUUGAUUUUUUUUAUCUACUUAGUGAACAAGAUCACAUCAAAAAAUUUCUCACACGAUUUAAAUUAAAACUCAAGCUAAACAAAUAAUCAAGUCAUAGUUUUACAAGUUUAAACCAUUAUACUAAAUUUAACAAAUAAUCAAGUCAUAGUUUUUUAAAUUUGAAUGGUUGUACCGAGUUUUAUACAGUGCUAAAAUAUUUUCAAUAAUCUAGACAUUAUUUUGUUACAUUAAAAAAAAAUUCACCUUACUUUUUUUUUAUCCAAGCCUCGCUAAUAAACUAACAAUACCCAAAACAACAAUGAGUCAUUAAUAGUAGAUUAUUUUUUUUAAUCAAUGAGUCAUUGAUAAUAGAAAUUUUUUUUAUUUUUUUAUUUUUUUAUAAAAGAUUUUUUUGAUCUCAUGAUCCGAGUUACAAAUAAUAUUAAAUUUGUUUUUUAUUGGGUUAUCUUCAUCUCAUGACUUAAAUUACAGAUUUAGCAUAUUAACCUUGUUAACUCAAAUGUUUUUCCUUUUUAAUUGAUUUUUCCUCCCAAUUCCAUUAUUUAAUAUUGUGUUAAUGUGUUUCAUUGAAAAUUAGACUUCAUGAUUUGUUUUAUUUUACUUUUUAUUUGAUUAUUUGAAACUCAUAACCUAGGAAUAAUGUUUAAAGAAUUAACCCGAAUUGACUUUACUUAUUUUAUACAUUAUUUUUUAAUAAAAUUAUUUACAAAUUUCAUCGCUCAACAUUUAGUUGUUAGGUCAAUUGAGGAUAAACAUCAUACUUUAUUUUGACUUGUAUUCUAUGAGAGCUCAAUCUCAUAACUAGAGUUGUGGAUUUAACAAGUUAAGUAAUGUUGUUUUUUUAUUUUAUUUCUAUUAGAUUGUCUACGUCUCAUGUCUGGAGUUAGGAGUUUGGGGACUAACUUAAGUUAUUUUUUAUGUUUUUUUUAAUUUAUUUUUUUAUAAUCACAUCCUUUAAUGUUUGGCUGAUUAGAAAUCAGACUUCGUAAUUUGAUUUGAUUUUUUUUAUAUGGAAUUAUCUCAGUAUUAUGACUUAGUUACAGGUUUGACAAGUUAACUCAGUUUGCUUUUUAGAUUCUUUUUUAAUUGAUUUUUUUUAGUUUUAUCUUUUAAUAUUUGAUUGAUUAGGAAUUAACUUCAUAAUUUAUUUUGAUUUAUUUUUUAUAAGGUUAUUAUAAUGUCAUAGCUCGGGUCAUGAAUUUAACAUUUUAACUCGAGUUAACCUAAAUCAAUUUAAUAUGUUAUUAUUUUAAUAUUAAAAAAUAAAUAUCAUCCUAAAAAACAAAUUCCCAAUUAAUCUUAGGUUUGUUUUAAACUUGUAAAGUAAUUUUUUUUCCAUCUGAAAAAUUAAAAUAUUGAUAACACUUGAAUACUUUUUUAAUAUUUAAGAAAGAUUUGAUCCGACCGCUGGUCAAUAAUAUAGUAAUGAUUACAAAGAGUCCAAUAACACGUAAUUUCCAGUUUCUUUUCUUUCGUUUUCGGGCCGGUGUCCCAGAAAAAAACCCUCAAAACCGUCCCAGUCCAAGAUGAAAUCUGGACCAUAUCAUUCCACGUGUUAGCAUUCCAUCCGUUGAAAAAAAUUCUUUCAUCCCAACAUUUUCGUAGUCUGAAAUGAGAAUCAGACCAUGCAAAAACCUCAACAAAAAAAAAGAUAGAAAAAGAUUUGAAUUUUUUCUUUUUUAUCUCAACACUAACAUCCCUUUUCUUUAGUUAAAUUUCAUUGUUUCAGCAGUAGCAGUCCUUCUUCAAAAUCUUUACCUUUUCUCUUCCAGUAGGUAAAACAACCAACCCCAUUUUCAUAUUUUUAUCAUUGCUAUUAUUGCUUUUCUUGCAGCUUUAAAUUAUUAGAAGCCAUACAUUUUUUAUAUAUUUAAUUUAUGGAUAUAUUAAUUGUUUUUUAUUAUCUGUUCCUUUUAGUUUUGCCAUACGUUUGGAUUUAUGGUUUUUAAUUUUAUGUGGAUUUAAUUAUGGAUUUGGAGGAGAUAGUAUGAAGCUUUUGCUAAAAUUUAAAUUUGUGCUAUCUUUUAAGGUGUUUUCAGUGAAUGGUAGAGUGAUAUGUGGAUUACCACCUGUUCUUCUCUAGAUUAAAGGAUUUUCAUUUAACCUGAUUAUUUUACUUUGUAAUUUGAACCAAAAAAGGAAAAAAAAAAAAAAAACCAUGUAGAGAUGGGUAUUUUACUGGAACAUAUUCUAAGGUCUGGUUGAGGUUGAAGAUGACGUGUCUUACAGUCUAGUCACUAUGGAUUUAAAUAUUGUUCACUUUAGUCCCUGCAGUGCAGUACUGGCUGCUGCUUUGAAUUGCUUUUUUCUCUCCAGAAAUGUCCCUGUGUGUAAGCAAAGCUCUUUCAGAUAUGCCCUAGGUUUUGAAUUUCUGAUUUUUAAAUGGUUGUAGAUGGAUCCAAUAAUCUCAUUAUAUUAUGGAUUAUUAGCCCUCAAAUUUUUAUUGUGGCUGAUCAUUUUUAUUUUGUGUGUGUGUGUGAGAGAGAGAGAGAAGGUGGAUGUGCUCACUUUGAUUAAUUGUUAAAAUUAGCUAAUUAACUUUAUUAUUUUUGCUCCUUAAUUAAUUAUAUAAUUACCUAAAGUAAUAUUGAAUAUUAUUUCCAACCAAUUUCUAUACUUAGCUCCUCUAAUUAUACCUUUUAAUUUUCCCAACGCCACAUCUACAUAUUUUUGUUUCUCUGUUUUAUAGUAAUGGAUCUGUUAUCACUUUGCUUACAGGAUUUUGGUUUUUCAAUCCUCAAUGGCCUCUGCUUUUGAAGAUUUUUGUUCAGUUAUACCUUACAUUUUGACGCUAUAUUUGUAUUUAUCACUGCAAUGAUGCAUUUAAGGAAUUUCUAUAAGGUUAAUGUGUGGUUGGUGGUUUAAUUUUAAAGGUGGUUUUGAAAUGAGGUUGCUUGGUUUUGCUAAUUUAACUUCUUUUAGUUUGUUCUUUAAGUAUGUUAUGUUUUCGGAUCAUGCUUUGGCUGCUAGAGGUGCCUGGAUAGUGAUGAACUGCAUCUUUAUCUUUUGGAUUGAAUUCAAAUAAACCUCACUUUCGUUGUUAAAAGUGUUAGUUCUCUAAUGAAAUAAGCCCUGCAUUGUUUUUUGUUUCACAGCUAUUCAAAAUGGCAGCAACAUCUGCUGCUACCUUUUCAAUUGGAUCAACCAUCUCCCUUGGCACCAAAAGCGAGCCAACUCCCGCAAUCGAAGCCCUUGUCUGUGAGAUUUAACUCCCAGAACACUCUUGCGACCUUCAGUGGACUCAAGGCAGCAACCUUCGUGAAGUGUGAGUCGGAGUCAUCUUUCUUAGGCAAGGAAAGCAGUGCAGCGCUUCGAGGAGCUGCUGCACCAAAAGCUCAAAAAUCAAGCCAAAGGUCACAGUAUCACCUAAACCCACAGGCAUCUUACAAGGUGGCGAUUCUUGGAGCUGCUGGAGGGAUAGGUCAGCCUUUAGCACUUCUAGUUAAGAUGUCGCCAUUGAUUUCAGCCCUGCACAUCUAUGAUAUAGCAAAUGUCAAGGGAGUUGCUGUUGAUCUCAGUCACUGUAACACCCCCUCACAAGUCUUGGGUUUCACAGGAACUUCUGAAUUACCUAAUUCUUUGAAGGGUGUAGAUGUUGUUGUCAUUCCGGCUGGGGUUCCAAGGAAGCCUGGUAUGAACCGCGAUGACCUCUUCAGCAUCAAUGCCAGCAUUGUAAAGACCUUGGUUGAGGCUGUUGCUGAUAACUGCCCUGAUGCUUUCAUACACAUUAUCAGCAAUCCAGUCAACUCUACAUUGCCAAUUGCAGCUGAAGUUUUGAAGAAGAAGGGUGUGUAUGAUCCAAAGAAGCUCUUUGGUGUUACGACACUUGAUGUUGUUAGGGCGAACACAUUUGUUGCUGAGAAGAAGAAUCUCAAGCUUAUCGAUGUGGAUGUACCAGUAGUAGGGGGGCACGCUGGGAUAACCAUUCUUCCCCUCCUAUCAAAGACGAGACCUCCAGUUAGUUUCACUGAUGAGGAAGUGCAGGAGCUAACUGUGAGGAUCCAGAAUGCUGGGACAGAAGUUGUGGAGGCGAAGGAAGGGGCAGGGUCUGCUACCCUGUCAAUGGCAUAUGCUGCAGCCAGAUUUGUCGAAUCUUCUCUUCGCGCGUUGGACGGUGAUGCUGAUGUCUAUGAGUGCUCGUUUGUGCAAUCAGAUCUUACUGAGCUUCCAUUCUUCGCGUCAAGGGUAAAACUUGGAAGGAAGGGGGUCGAAGCUUUCAUUUCAUCUGACCUCCAAGGGCUGACUGAGUAUGAACAGAAGGCACUGGAAGCUCUCAAGCCUGAACUGAAGGCCAGCAUUGAGAAAGGUAUCGCAUUUGCUCAGAAGUAACCAGUGGCUACAUAGAUUGAGUUAAUUUCUGGAAGCCACAACCAGACAGAAAGGUGGGUCUUAUCUCCGUUGGUCAUUUUUUCCCCAGAUCAAUGCAUCGGCAAUUUCAGUUUUGUAGAAUUUUCACCCAUCUUAUGUCUUGAGAAACUUCUUUUGAGGAUAUAUUUUCUUUAGUGUAGUAC
rnacentral:lncRNA from 1 species